GGCGGGGGAUGCAAGUGUUAUCCGGAAUCACUGGGCGUAAAGCGUCUGUAGGUGGUUUAAUAAGUCAACUGUUAAAUCUUGAGGCUCAACCUCAAAAUCGCAGUCGAAACUAUUAGGCUAGAGUAUAGUAGGGGUAAAGGGAAUUUCCAGUGGAGCGGUGAAAUGCGUAGAGAUUGGAAAGAACACCGAUGGCGAAGGCACUUUACUGGGCUAUUACUAACACUCAGAGACGAAAGCUAGGGUAGCAAAUGGG
rnacentral:rRNA from 1 species